rnacentral:rRNA from 1 species
AGCUCCAAGAGCGUAUAUUAAAGUUGUUGCAGUUAAAAAGCUCGUAGUUGGAUUUCUGGUACAAUGCGCCUGGCCCGCGAGGGUUACCUCUGUGAGUGCCGGUGCGCGUUUGCCAUCCUUCUAGAAAACGUUUCUACCCUUCACUGGGCCGGACUCGCGAUCUAGAUCUUUUACUUUGAAAAAAUUAGAGUGUUUCAAGCAGGCUCUUGCCGUGAAUACAUUAGCAUGGAAUAAUAAUCUAGGACUUCGGUUCUAUUUUGUUGGUUUCUAGUACUGAAGUAAUGAUUGAUAGGGAUAGUUGGGGGUGCUAGUAUUGGCCGGCCAGAGGUGAAAUUCUUGGAUUCGGUCAAGACUAACUUAUGCGAAAGCAUUCACCAAGGAUGUCUUCUUUAAUCAAGAA